rnacentral:sRNA from 1 species
CACGACGGGUCGCCGGGACGGUCGUCUCCGCGGGAGACGCACCGGGCCGGGCAGCCCUUGGGGUGAAGCCGCACUCGUGCGGCCGGGCAACUUCGCCAGCCCGAAUCCGACAGGUCAUCCUUCACAGGCGGCUGACGAAGGGUUG